rnacentral:pre_miRNA from 1 species
CGUGCACCAGUGGGGUCCCUCAGCCUGGCCUGCGCCUUCUCGCAAUCCAGAACCCCUCGGGGGAUGUCGGAGAGCCGAUUUCGGCCCAAUCCCUCAGGCCAGGCUGAGGGACCCCACUGGUGCAUG